rnacentral:rRNA from 1 species
GACGAACGCUGGCGGCGUGCUUAACACAUGCAAGUCGAACGAAGAGCGACGGAAGCUUGCUUCUAUCAAUCUUAGUGGCGAACGGGUGAGUAACGCGUAAUCAACCUGCCCUUCAGAGGGGGACAACAGUUGGAAACGACUGAUAAUACCGCAUACGAUCUAAUCUCGGCAUCGAGGAUGGAUGAAAGGUGGCCUCUACAUGUAUGCUAUCACUGAAGGAGGGGAUUGCGUCUGAUUAGCUAGUUGGAGGGGUAACGGCCCACCAAGGCGAUGAUCAGUAGCCGGUCUGAGAGGAUGAACGGCCACAUUGGGACUGAGACACGGCCCAGACUCCUACGGGAGGCAGCAGUGGGGAAUCUUCCGCAAUGGACGAAAGUCUGACGGAGCAACGCCGCGUGAGUGAUGACGGCCGUCGGGUUGUAAAGCUCUGUUAAUCGGGACGAAAGGCCUUCUUGCGAAUAGUGAGAAGGAUUGACGGUACCGGAAUAGAAAGCCACGGCUAACUACGUG